CGCGCGGAGGCGGGGGCGGCUGUCGGGCUUAGGGACAGGCGGACGCGUCCUCGAGGAGGCGAAAACGUGAGAGAAAUGACAGAAGCACACGCCAGGAGUGGGCCAGAUGCUACUCUGAGGACAUCUGUGGAAAUGGGUAAAGUCAAGUGGGGAGAGAAAAACAAGACAGAAAGGAGAGAGACUUCAAGAGGCUUGGCAAAAAAACGAGCAGAGACACAGACAGAGGCAAGCAGUGGGGACCUCUACGACAGCAAUGUAGGGAGAACACUACCACUUGGAGAAGUGGCGCAGAAAUCCGAAAACAUCUGGAACUUGAAUUUAGAGGAACUACUUAGUAGUUUCUCACACAUUAUACAUCCUAACAGUAAGUUUUCCAGAAGAAUAAAAGUUCAUCUUGGAAAAGGAAAAUUUAAGAAUUAAAGCAUAUUUUAAAAAGAGAUGUUAGGGCUGGGGAUUUAUCUUAGUGGUUCCACUGCCUGCCUCGCAAGUUCAAGGUCCUGAGUUCAAUACCAGGUACAAAAAGAAAAGAAAGAAAGAAAAAAUUGAUAGUAUGUAUUUAGACUGAAUUAUGUUACAUUAUUUUUAACCCACGAAACCUACUGACUGGCACUUAUUGAUGAGACUUACUGUACCUAAAGCUUAGGUGAUAGUGCUAUCUUCUAAGGGGCAGUAGGAUUAAAAAAAGAGAGACAGAAGAGAGAGCGCAAAAGACCAAGAGACCAGAGAACAACAUGCGGGUGUCUUAUGAUGUUGAGUAGACAGGAUUUACUACUUGAGCUUUAGUUUUACUAAUUACCAUAUAUACAAAUCAAUAUGGUCUAACAGGUCAAGAGUUAAAUUUAAAGCAACAAGAGAAAAAGAUGUGAAUAAAAUGGAAACUUAUGUUGGAAGGUUUAAACCCAGUUGACUUGACAGGUGGUGGGCAAAGGAAGAUUGACAGGGAAGAGUGAAGAGGGAUGGGAGUGAAUCGCCAUUGCUCCCAUGAUGUGAGGAAGAAAUUAAUUCUAGUGUCUUCUGACACACAGGGCACAGAAUCAUCUUUAAUAUAUAUAUACAUAUAUACACUCACCAAGUAAGUUAACAUUAGUAAAAUAAGGUUUCUUUGCCCCAAUACUUUGAUCAGCAUGGUGCCAAUUGCUUAGAUAAUAGGUACUGGCAACCCAGUUCCUCUUUCCUUCCAAAGUAGGGAAGAGAAAGUGAUGAUUUCAGUCCUGGGAGUGAAUUGAAGGUGUGAAAAUGAGUCAAGGAGUAAGAGGAGAAGGAUACAGAGAAUGCAGCCCUGGGGAAGACCAAGAGCCAGGAGGCGACAGAGCAAGGGCUGGGAAAGGCCCAGAGCAGGCCAGGCCAGGCCAGGUCUUUAUUUCCAGGAGGUCAAUGAGGAGGAUCAAAGGGCAACCAGGCCCCUGGAGACUACAGCAAACCUGGGCAGAAAGGAUGCUGCUGAGGAGCGGGGUAGACUGCAGCCAUCAUCAGCUGUGUGCUACCUGAGCCAUGUUAAUUCACCAUUUCUCCAGGAGGCCACAGCCAGCUAAAAAUCUGAAGUGAUUCCCAGCACCCUCCUAGAACUCAGGAGUAAGACACCUUGAGGCUAAAGAAUCAGUCUUGCUUCAGGACCAGCCAUGGCCCCCCGGGGAACUGCAGCUACCCUCAGCAGCACUUCCAGGGUGGAGGAGAAUCCAGUGCCCUAAAGCAGGAGUCCCCAUAGCUUCCUGGUGAGGGAGGACGCAAAACAAAGCCUCUGAAUUUCAAGCUGCAGAAGCCAGCACUUCAAGCACCUGCCUGCCUGGCUGGCCUACAUGAAUUACUGACAAAGGUCCAAGCCACACCAGAUCUUAAGAUGUCUUCUGAAUUAAGUUUCCCAAACCUGAGGUUCACGGGCCAAACAAGUUCACUGCCGUAGCAUAUGUUUGGAUUGAAUAAUAUAUUUUGGUUUUAAUUGAUUUAUUCAUAAUAAAGUUAACAUUUUUGUGUUUUUAUUUCUGCCAGUCUUUUCUGGCUUUGUUGGUUCACUUUUGCCUGUUUUAUAUGCUAGGCGAAUACUAGAUACUCCAUUUUUGUGUGACCUUUACUUUCAAAUAUAAUUUGGGAAUGUUCCUAUUUCAUUAAAUACUCUGCUAGGAAUAUUUUUGACAUAUGCUUAUCCAUACACACACACACACACACACACACACACACACCCCAUAAUUUACUUAACCAUUUCCCAUUUAAGGGAUUUUUGCUGUAUACUGACUUUUCCUUAUUAUAAAGAAUACAUAUAAUCCUAG
rnacentral:lncRNA from 1 species